rnacentral:rRNA from 1 species
AUACGGGGGGUGCAAGCGUUAUCCGGAAUCAUUGGGUUUAAAGGGUCCGUAGGCGGACUAUUAAGUCAGAGGUGAAAUCCCACAGCUCAACUGUGGAACUGCCUUUGAUACUGGUAGUCUUGAGUUAUAUGGAAGUAGAUAGAAUGUGUAGUGUAGCGGUGAAAUGCAUAGAUAUUACACAGAAUACCGAUUGCGAAGGCAGUCUACUACGUAUAUACUGACGCUAAGGGACGAAAGCGUGGGGAGCGAACAGGAUUAGAAACCCCGGUAGUCC